UCUCCUCUCCUCAAUUUCAUCCGAUCCUCUCCUUUUUGUUUUUUCUUCUUUGCGUUCUGUCUCUCUCCCCUCUUCAAUUUCAUCCGGUCCUCUCCUUUUUAUUUUCUUUUCUUUGCGUUCUGUCUCUCUCCCCUCAAUUCCAUCUUAUUCUCAUCGACGGAUCGGCCUCAGUAGUCAGUAACUCAGUUGUGGCUGCCUAGCAAUUUUUUGGGAUUCUGAGAAUUGAAAAAAUUGGAGAAGGAGCUGUGAGCAAACUUAGAGUCUUAUCUCACUCAUCUGAGUCUUUGAUCUUCAAGGAAUCAGGUUCUCUUAUUUACAUUUAUUUGCUUCAAUUUUUUGGGAAUAUUGUUGCAUCGUUGUGUUAAAAUUUAGAAGUAUGCCUCCUAAAAAAAAUGUUUAUCUGGAUAUGCAAAACGUUUAAAGAAGAAAAAAGAUGCAGACUUGGUUCAAUCUUUAAGGGGAAGUCUUGAUAGGUUCAUUACUAGAGAACCAGAAGGUUUGGGCGAAGAUUUAGUUAAUGAAGAGGCAGAAGAGCACACUGAGAGGGAAAAUAAUGUGGAAGAGCACACUAAUAGGGAAAAUAAUGUGGAAGAACACACUGAUGGCAAUGAAGUUGUAGAUGAUUUGGAUCAUGGUGAAAAUGAGAAUGACGGGUUUGUUCAAGUAUUAUUGAUUGGUUAUUUGAUUUUAUAUUGUGAUUUUGUUCAUAUAUAAAUUUCAUGUAAGACUAAAGCUUUGAGGGCCACAUUUUAAGUUUU